rnacentral:rRNA from 1 species
CAUGCAAGUCGAACGAAGAGCGAUGGAAGCUUGCUUCUAUCAAUCUUAGUGGCGAACGGGUGAGUAACGCGUAAUCAACCUGCCCUUCAGAGGGGGACAACAGUUGGAAACGACUGCUAAUACCGCAUACGAUCUAACCUCGGCAUCGAGGAUAGAUGAAAGGUGGCCUCUACAUGUAAGCUAUCACUGAAGGAGGGGAUUGCGUCUGAUUAGCUAGUUGGAGGGGUAACGGCCCACCAAGGCGAUGAUCAGUAGCCGGUCUGAGAGGAUGAACGGCCACAUUGGGACUGAGACACGGCCCAGACUCCUACGGGAGGCAGCAGUGGGGAAUCUUCCGCAAUGGACGAAAGUCUGACGGAGCAACGCCGCGUGAGUGAUGACGGCCUUCGGGUUGUAAAGCUCUGUUAAUCGGGACGAAAGGCCUUCUUGCGAAUAGUGAGAAGGAUUGACGGUACCGGAAUAGAAAGCCACGGCUA